AGCUCCACAGCUUGUACGUGCUCCA
rnacentral:siRNA from 1 species